CGCGCAGCUCCGCGCCGCCCGCCCGGGUCCCGCGGGUUCGGGCUGCCUCGGCGCCGGGGAACGAAGAGAGACGGAAAACGAGCAGCUCCGGGUGAAACCUCCCUUUCUUCCCCUCGCGUCCUUUCCUUCCUUUUCUCCUCCUCCAAUCCCUUUCCCAGCGCGCUUGGAUUAGUCGGCGCAGAAAACUUAACCUCUUCGGUCCUCUCUAGCGCAGCUAGUUGCGACUUCGGCGACGAGGGGCAAGCAGGCUAACAGUUCGCAGGCAGCCGCUGAAGAAGUCUCAGAAUCCGGGCGAGCGCGCAGGAAGGCAAAGUGGAGCGGAGCAGCAGGGCUGCGCAGCGCCGCCUUGCGGCCGCCGUCCCCCUCGCCACGCCAUUCCUCUUCUGCCCUGCGCUUCGGGCGCUUCUCCGCGCAACGAUCGUGCCUCUCUCCCCGUCCUGGACAGUCUCGCCCUCCCUCCUUUUCCUUCUUCUUGGCGAGUGUCCGGAUCGCUCCAGCGGUUUCCAGCUGGGCUUUGCAUGUGCGCGUACGUGUGUGUGUGUGUGUGUGUGUGGUGUGUGUGCGUGCAUGCGUGGGGGACGGAUGCCCUCCGCCCGAUCCGCCGCCCACUGCCAGCCUCAUCUGCUGCAGGGAUCCCUUGGCGCUAGCAGAACGCGGGAGGCGAACCCGUCGAGCCUCGGAAUGAAUGGCUAUGUUUUUCAUCUGAAGGACUGGAACAACAGGAUGCACAAGAAGUGAACACACUGCAGUUGAGAAAUUCAUUAGCAGAGUUGCACAGCAUUAGAAGGGAUAGAAAUGUAGCAAACUUAAAUUAAAACUUCAGUUAAAUCUAA